rnacentral:rRNA from 1 species
UACGGAGGGUGCAAACGUUGCUCGGAAUCAUUGGGCGUAAAGCGCACGUAGGCGGUCUCGCAAGUCGGGUGUGAAAGCCCUCGGCUCAACCGAGGAAGUGCAUCCGAAACUGCGAAACUUGAAUAGUGAAGAGGGUCUCGGAAUUCCCGGUGUAGAGGUGAAAUUCGUAGAUAUCGGGAGGAACACCAGUGGCGAAGGCGGAGACCUGGGCACAUAUUGACGCUGAGGUGCGAAAGCGUGGGGAGCAAACAGG